rnacentral:rRNA from 1 species
CAGUCGCCGCGGUAAUACGUAGGUGGCAAGCGUUGUCCGGAAUUAUUGGGCGUAAAGGGCUCGCAGGCGGUUUCUUAAGUCCGAUGUGAAAGCCCCCGGCUCAACCGGGGAGGGUCAUUGGAAACUGGGAAACUUGAGUGCAGAAGAGGAGAGUGGAAUUCCACGUGUAGCGGUGAAAUGCGUAGAGAUGUGGAGGAACACCAGUGGCGAAGGCGACUCUCUGGUCUGUAACUGACGCUGAGGAGCGAAAGCGUGGGGAGCGAACAGGAUUAGAUACCCCCGUAGUCCCUGUCUCUUAUAC